UUCAUUCACUUGCAUUGUGUAGGCCAACUCUGGAGCUGUGUAUCCAAUGGUACAAGCAAAUGAGUUUGUGUUGGAUGAGUCAGGCAUUAAAACCCUAGCUGUGCCAAAAUCAGAUAUACGAGGCUCGUAUUCUGAAUCCAAAAGAAUAUUAUUGCUGGAAAUGUCACAAUGAAUGAUUGGAAAAGGACAAUUAUGGUGCAUAUAAUAUAAAGCAUUGGCCACCCCUUUGA
rnacentral:misc_RNA from 1 species